rnacentral:misc_RNA from 1 species
AAGUCGUAACAAGGUUUCCGUAGGUGAACCUGCGGAAGGAUCAUUACUGCUUGCUUAUGACUUCUGUGUGGGAGACUGCACAGUUGUCGGGCUCGCUACCCUUGUCUAAACAUAACCUUUCGUUAUUUCCCUCGGCAGGGUUACCUGCCGCUGGGCUUUAUCAAACCUCUUGUUUAAGUAUUACACUCUGAACUACACAAUAAUCACAACUUUUAACAAUGGAUCUCUUGGUUCUG